rnacentral:snoRNA from 1 species
CGAUGCAGUACUUCAUAGAAUCAUUUCUAUAGUAAACGUCCUCUUCUGUGUUCUCUCUCACGAGCCACAGACCUCACCCUGGCUGAUGAUUCGAAGUCUCCGAUGCCCUAGAGUGAAAAAUUUUGUACUCUCGACGCGCCUUUACACGAGUCUUCGGAUGAGUGUCUAGGCAAGAGAGUGGUGAUGAUCUUCGACCCAACUCGAGGCCUGGCUUCGUGCCGCUUGAUGAGGGAGGUAUCGAAUGACUGAAUCUGACAGGU